rnacentral:rRNA from 1 species
GAGUUUGAUCCUGGCUCAGGACGAACGCUGGCGGCGCGCCUAAUCCAUGCAAGUCGAGCGACGCAUUCCUUAGCCCGUAAGGGCGGGUUUGACGGAGCGGCGAACGGGUGCGUAACACGUGACCAAUCUGCCCCGAAGACCGGGAUAGCCCGGGGAAACCCGGAUUAAUACCGGAUGAUCUCACCACCACGCAUGUGGAGGUGAGCAAAGGCUCAGGCGCUUCGGGAUGAGGUCGCGGCCCAUCAGCUUGUUGGUGAGGUAACGGCUCACCAAGGCAAUUACGGGUAGCUGGUCUGAGAGGACGAUCAGCCACACUGGAACUGAGAUACGGUCCAGACUCCUACGGGAGGCAGCAGGAGGGAAUCUUGCGCAAUGGGCGAAAGCCUGACGCAGCGACGCCGCGUGGGGGAUGAAUGCCUUAGGGUUGUAAACCCCUUUCACGAGGGAAGAAACUGACGGUACCUCGAGAAGAAGCCCCGGCCAACUACGUGCCAGCAGCCGCGGUAAUACGUAGGGGGCGAGCGUUGUCCGGAUUUAUUGGGCGUAAAGGGCUCGUAGGCGGCUUGGCAAGUCGGCCGUGAAAACCCAGGGCUCAACUCUGGGACGCCGGUCGAUACUGCCAUGGCUAGGGUCCGGUAGAGGGGAAUGGAAUUCCCGGUGUAGCGGUGAAAU